GGGUUGUGAGGUUAAGCGACUAAGCGUACACGGUGGAUGCCCUGGCAGUCAGAGGCGAUGAAGGACGUGCUAAUCUGCGAAAAGCGUCGGUAAGGUGAUAUGAACCGUUAUAACCGGCGAUGUCCGAAUGGGGAAACCCAGUGCAAUUCGUUGCACUAUCGUUAACUGAAUACAUAGGUUAACGAGGCGAACCGGGGGAACUGAAACAUCUAAGUACCCCGAGGAAAAGAAAUCAACCGAGAUUCCCCCAGUAGCGGCGAGCGAACGGGGAGCAGCCCAGAGUCUGAAUCAGCUUGUGUGUUAGUGGAACGGUCUGGAAAGUCCGACGGUACAGGGUGAUAGUCCCGUACACCAAAAUGCACAGGCUGUGAACUCGAAGAGUAGGGCGGGACACGUGGUAUCCUGUCUGAAUAUGGGGGGACCAUCCUCCAAGGCUAAAUACUCCUGACUGACCGAUAGUGAACCAGUACCGUGAGGGAAAGGCGAAAAGAACCCCGGCGAGGGGAGUGAAAAAGAACCUGAAACCGUGUACGUACAAGCAGUGGGAGCACCUUCGGGUGUGACUGCGUACCUUUUGUAUAAUGGGUCAGCGACUUAUAUUCUGUAGCAAGGUUAACCGUAUAGGGGAGCCGCAGGGAAACCGAGUCUUAACUGGGCGUUAAGUUGCAGGGUAUAGACCCGAAACCCGGUGAUCUAGCCAUGGGCAGGUUGAAGGUUGGGUAACACUAACUGGAGGACCGAACCGACUAAUGUUGAAAAAUUAGCGGAUGACUUGUGGCUGGGGGUGAAAGGCCAAUCAAACCGGGAGAUAGCUGGUUCUCCCCGAAAGCUAUUUAGGUAGCGCCUCGUGAAUUCAUCUUCGGGGGUAGAGCACUGUUUCGGCUAGGGGGUCAUCCCGACUUACCAACCCGAUGCAAACUACGAAUACCGAAGAAUGUUAUCACGGGAGACACACGGCGGGUGCUAACGUCCGUCGUGAAGAGGGAAACAACCCAGACCGCCAGCUAAGGUCCCAAAGUCAUGGUUAAGUGGGAAACGAUGUGGGAAGGCACAGACAGCCAGGAUGUUGGCUUAGAAGCAGCCAUCAUUUAAAGAAAGCGUAAUAGCUCACUGGUCGAGUCGGCCUGCGCGGAAGAUGUAACGGGGCUAAACCAUGCACCGAAGCUGCGGCAGCGACACUAUGUGUUGUUGGGUAGGGGAGCGUUCUGUAAGCCUGCGAAGGUGUGCUGUGAGGCAUGCUGGAGGUAUCAGAAGUGCGAAUGCUGACAUAAGUAACGAUAAAGCGGGUGAAAAGCCCGCUCGCCGGAAGACCAAGGGUUCCUGUCCAACGUUAAUCGGGGCAGGGUGAGUCGACCCCUAAGGCGAGGCCGAAAGGCGUAGUCGAUGGGAAACAGGUUAAUAUUCCUGUACUUGGUGUUACUGCGAAGGGGGGACGGAGAAGGCUAUGUUAGCCGGGCGACGGUUGUCCCGGUUUAAGCAUGUAGGCUGGUUGUCCAGGCAAAUCCGGAUAAUCAAGGCUGAGGUGUGAUGACGAGGCACUACGGUGCUGAAGUAACAAAUGCCCUGCUUCCAGGAAAAGCCUCUAAGCAUCAGGUAACAUCAAAUCGUACCCCAAACCGACACAGGUGGUCAGGUAGAGAAUACCAAGGCGCUUGAGAUAACUCGGGUGAAGGAACUAGGCAAAAUGGUGCCGUAACUUCGGGAGAAGGCACGCUGGUGUGUAGGUGAAGCCCCUGCGGGUGGAGCUGAGACCAGUCGAAGAUACCAGCUGGCUGCAACUGUUUAUUAAAAACACAGCACUGUGCAAACACGAAAGUGGACGUAUACGGUGUGACGCCUGCCCGGUGCCGGAAGGUUAAUUGAUGGGGUUAUCCGUAAGGAGAAGCUCUUGAUCGAAGCCCCGGUAAACGGCGGCCGUAACUAUAACGGUCCUAAGGUAGCGAAAUUCCUUGUCGGGUAAGUUCCGACCUGCACGAAUGGCGUAAUGAUGGCCAGGCUGUCUCCACCCGAGACUCAGUGAAAUUGAACUCGCUGUGAAGAUGCAGUGUACCCGCGGCAAGACGGAAAGACCCCGUGAACCUUUACUAUAGCUUGACACUGAACAUUGAGCCUUGAUGUGUAGGAUAGGUGGGAGGCUUUGAAGCGUGGACGCCAGUCUGCGUGGAGCCAACCUUGAAAUACCACCCUUUAAUGUUUGAUGUUCUAACGUUGGCCCCUUACCGGGGUUGCGGACAGUGUCUGGUGGGUAGUUUGACUGGGGCGGUCUCCUCCCAAAGCGUAACGGAGGAGCACGAAGGUUAGCUAAUCCUGGUCGGACAUCAGGAGGUUAGUGCAAUGGCAUAAGCUAGCUUGACUGCGAGCGUGACGGCGCGAGCAGGUGCGAAAGCAGGUCAUAGUGAUCCGGUGGUUCUGAAUGGAAGGGCCAUCGCUCAACGGAUAAAAGGUACUCCGGGGAUAACAGGCUGAUACCGCCCAAGAGUUCAUAUCGACGGCGGUGUUUGGCACCUCGAUGUCGGCUCAUCACAUCCUGGGGCUGAAGUAGGUCCCAAGGGUAUGGCUGUUCGCCAUUUAAAGUGGUACGCGAGCUGGGUUUAGAACGUCGUGAGACAGUUCGGUCCCUAUCUGCCGUGGGCGCUGGAGAAUUGAGGGGGGCUGCUCCUAGUACGAGAGGACCGGAGUGGACGCAUCACUGGUGUUCGGGUUGUCAUGCCAAUGGCACUGCCCGGUAGCUAAAUGCGGAAGAGAUAAGUGCUGAAAGCAUCUAAGCACGAAACUUGCCCCGAGAUGAGUUCUCCCUGAGACUUUAAGUCUCCUGAAGGAACGUUGAAGACGACGACGUUGAUAGGCCGGGUGUGUAAGCGCAGCGAUGCGUUGAGCUAACCGGUACUAAUGAACCGUGAGGCUUAACCUUACAACGCCGAAG
rnacentral:rRNA from 1 species